rnacentral:rRNA from 1 species
CCUACGGGUGGCAGCAGUGAGGAAUAUUGGUCAAUGGACGUAAGUCUGAACCAGCCAAGUCGCGUGCGGGAUGACGGUUCUAUGAGUCGUAAACCUCUUUUAUACGGGGGUAAAGUGCGGGACGUGUCCCGUUCUGUAUGUACCUUAUGAAUAAGGAUCGGCUAACUCCGUGCCAGCAGCCGCGGUAAUACGGAGGAUCCGAGCGUUAUCCGGAUUUAUUGGGUUUAAAGGGUGCGUAGGCGGCCUGUUAAGUCAGCGGUGAAAGUCUGUGGCUCAACUAUAGAAUUGCCUGUGAAACUGGUAGGCUUGAGAAUGUUUGAGGUAGGCGGAAUGUGUGGUGUAGCGGUGAAAUGCUUAGAGAUCACGCAGAACCCCGAUUGCGAAGGCAGCUUGCCAAGCCAUGACUGACGCUGAGGCACGAAAGCGUGGGGAUCAAACAGGAUUAGAUACCCUUGUAGUC